CUCCCCGGGCACGGCGGACCGGCGCUUCUCUCUGUCGGCCAUAUUUGUUGACAUCCCGUGUCGCAGCAACGGAAGUGAAAGGAGACGCAGAGUGGGGGGAGAAGAAAAAAAAAAAAAAAAAAAGUCUCUCUUAAAGAGAGAGAAUAUGAGAAGAUACACUAUUCCUUGUCUUGGAUGUAUGUAACUAUUGAAGCCCGGCGAAACGUACCCACUCUUUUCUGCAUCUUGGAGGUGAAGACAUGGAAUUAACAGCAAAAAUGGUGCAGACAUGGAAUUAACAACAAAGAUGGACAACUUUUCAUUUAAAGGUGUGCUUUUGCCUGUGUAGCAGUCUACUGUAACACAUUUCUACAAACAGAGUGCGAGAUCCCAGUUUUGUGCAAUGUUAGGCGUCUACUUGGAGUGCUCCACGUCGUCGUAGUUGUCAGCGUGGACGCCGUUGGUGACCCCUGUGUGGUUGGCGAUCGCCUUCGUCUCCUUUUACCGGGUGGCAGAGUCGCCUUUGACGUGCUGUGCGGACAAGAAGUUCCUCUGGAGCUUUUCUUCCAGCAGCAUGUGACUCUGAGGGGGCAGGCCCAGACAAGCCCUGGAAAAAGAAAACAUUUCAUCAAAACAGUUGCAAGAAAAAGCAUGUGACCCACUAGCACUAGAAGGUCCAACUGCCUCCUGUGUGCGUGUGUGUGUGUGUGUUAUUUUGAGAGCAAUGGAGACAAAAAAUGUAUGCAAAGAAAAUCUAAACACAUAAUUCGCUAUUUGUCAUCAGAUGACGAUGACAAUUGACUGAAAGUGUUUACUGUCAUUAUAAUGUACAAAUACAAACUACUAUUGCGAAGACAUUUGCAACAUUUGGUAUGUGGA